UAGUGGCGAACGGGUGAGUAACACGUGGGCAAUCUGCCCUGCACUCUGGGACAAGCCCUGGAAACGGGGUCUAAUACCGGAUACUGACCAUCGAGGGCAUCCUUUGAUGGUCGAAAGCUCCGGCGGUGCAGGAUGAGCCCGCGGCCUAUCAGCUUGUUGGUGAGGUAAUGGCUCACCAAGGCGACGACGGGUAGCCGGCCUGAGAGGGCGACCGGCCACACUGGGACUGAGACACGGCCCAGACUCCUACGGGAGGCAGCAGUGGGGAAUAUUGCACAAUGGGCGAAAGCCUGAUGCAGCGACGCCGCGUGAGGGAUGACGGCCUUCGGGUUGUAAACCUCUUUCAGCAGGGAAGAAGCGAAAGUGACGGUACCUGCAGAAGAAGCGCCGGCUAACUACGUGCCAGCAGCCGCGGUAAUACGUAGGGCGCGAGCGUUGUCCGGAAUUAUUGGGCGUAAAGAGCUCGUAGGCGGCUUGUCACGUCGGUUGUGAAAGCCCGGGGCUUAACCCCGGGUCUGCAGUCGAUACGGGCAGGCUAGAGUUCGGUAGGGGAGAUCGGAAUUCCUGGUGUAGCGGUGAAAUGCGCAGAUAUCAGGAGGAACACCGGUGGCGAAGGCGGAUCUCUGGGCCGAUACUGACGCUGAGGAGCGAAAGCGUGGGGAGCGAACAGGAUUAGAUACCCUGGUAGUCCACGCCGUAAACGGUGGGCACUAGGUGUGGGCAACAUUCCACGUUGUCCGUGCCGCAGCUAACGCAUUAAGUGCCCCGCCUGGGGAGUACGG
rnacentral:rRNA from 1 species